rnacentral:rRNA from 1 species
GAUGAACGCUGGCGGCGUGCCUAACACAUGCAAGUCGAACGGAGUUAUUCGCUGAUGAAGCUUCGGCAGAUUCUUGAAUAACUUAGUGGCGGACGGGUGAGUAACGCGUGGGUAACCUGCCUCAUACAGGGGGAUAGCAGUUGGAAACGACUGAUAACACCGCAUAAGCGCACAGUAUCGCAUGAUACAGUGUGAAAAUAUCUAUAGGUAUGAUAUGGACCCGCGUCUGAUUAACUAGUUGGUGAGGUAACGGCCCACCAAGGCGACGAUCAGUACCCGGCCUGAUAGGGCGGACGGCCACAUUGGGACUGAUACACCGCCCAAACUCCUACGGGGAGGCAGCAGUGGGGGAUAUUGCACAAUGGGCGCAAGCUUGAUGCAGUGACGCCGCGUGAGUGAAGAAGUUUUCCGGUAUGUAAAGCUCUAUCACCAGGGAGAAAAAACCCCUUAAAGGGGAUUAAGGUACCCGGAUUACAAACCCCGGGUUAAAUAAGGGCAAGUAUGCCGGGUAAUACUUAGGGGGAAACGUUCUCCGGAUCUCCCGGCCCCC